CCCUUAGAUGUUCUGGGCCGCACGCGCGCUACAAUGGUCUUCGCAAACGGAUGCAUUCUCGAAGGAGAAUGCCAAUCUUGGAAUCUAUGCCUUGGUCGGGACAGUUGCUUGCAAUUUUUCGACUCGAACCAGGAAUUCCUUGUAAUCGUGAUUCAUCACAUCACGAUGAAUACGUCCCUGCCCUUUGUACACACCGCCCGUCGCUCCUACCGAUCGAAGAGUUAGGUGAAUUGUUUUGAUCGAUAAGAUUUGACUAUGGUCAACUCUCGUUGUGAAAUUCUGUGAAGCUGACUGUUUAGAGGAAGGAAAAGUCGUAACA
rnacentral:rRNA from 1 species